GAAACGCGCGCUGGUUUCCCCUGCGGUCGGGAGAUCCCGAGCCUGAGGCGGGCGUGGGUGAGAAACAUCUUCCCUUCCCCUUUCACCACCCCGAGGGUCAAGGAUCGUCUUGGGCCAACUGACCUGCUUCCUCCUUCCUCCCCAGCAGCCCUGACAGUCCUGACAUUACCCAGCCAAAGCACCACGCGUCAGUCUGAGCGGCAGCUCCUACACCAAGGGCGCUCAGAAUCCCCCAGGAAACCCCCUGAGGGGUUAGCACCCCGCUAGUAGGUUUCGGUCCAAAGAUACUGAAGGGCAGACUAGGAGACAGACACAUACCUCUCUUCUGUGCUUCAGGAAUGUAUAUUCAGUUACCUCCAGACAUCUCAGUCCCAAGCGCACCUGAAACUCAAUGUUUUUGAAGAUUUUACUUAUUAUUUGAGAGAGAGCACGCAAGAGAGC